rnacentral:rRNA from 1 species
GCUUGUCUCAAAGAUUAAGCCAUGCAUGUCUAAGUGUAAAUAAGUCUAUACUGUGAAACUGCGAAUGGCUCAUUAAAUCAGUUAUCGUUUAUUUGAUGAUCUCUUACUACUUGGAUAACCGUAGUAAUUCUAGAGCUAAUACAUGCACAAAGGCCCGACUCACGAAGGGCUGUAUUUAUUAGAUUUAAAGCCGACAUCUUUUGGUGAUUCAUAAUAACUUUUCGAACCUCAUGCCUUUAUGGUGGAGGUGAUUCAUUCAAAUUUCUGCCCUAUCAACUUUCGAUGGUACGGUAUUGGCCUACCAUGGUUACCACGGGUAACGGGGAAUUAGGGUUCGGUUCCGGAGAGGGGGCCUGAGAAAUGGCCACCACAUCCAAGGAAGGCAGCAGG